rnacentral:rRNA from 1 species
GACGAACGCUGGCGGCGUGCCUAACACAUGCAAGUCAAAGGAAAGCAGCUUCGGUUGUAAGUACUUGGCGCAAGGGUGAGUAAUGUAUAGGUAAUCCGCCCUUAGGACUGGCAUAACCUCGAGAAAUCGAGGACAAUACCAGAUGAUGCAGCGGGACCGCAUGGUCAUGUUGUUAAAGAUUUAUCGCCUAAGGAUGAACCUAUAUCCCAUCAGGUAGUUGGCAGGAUAAUAGCCUACCAAGCCUACGACGGGUAGCUGGUCUGAGAGGAUGAUCAGCCACAUUGGAACUGAGACACGGUCCAGACUCCUACGGGAGGCAGCAGUGAGGAAUAUUGCGCAAUGGGCGAAAGCCUGACGCAGCAACGCCGCGUGGAUGAUGAAGUUCUUCGGAAUGUAAAGUCCUUUUGUAGAGGAAGAACAUGUCGGUUUACCGGCACUGACGGUACCUGACGAAUAAGCCACGGCUAACUCUGU